GGAAAAGACAGAAAUUAUGUGUGACGUGAGAAGAUGCAUUCGUCUAAAUGAAAAGCAAUGGAAAGUAACCGUACAAAAAGUGUUUUGUCGGCAGAAUGAUGGCAAAUGUGUUGGGAACAGUGAAACUUGGCCACUCUUAAAAGACGGUGAAUGUUGGACUCGCAGGUGCAAAAUUUGGGAAGAUAAACGCAUUGAAAUCAUAUCAGAAUUAGCGGAAAAUUGUUAAGUAAA